GGGGGUAGGGAAUAGCUCAAUGGUAGAGCACAUGCCUACCAUGCAUGAGGUCCUGGGUUCAAUCCCCAGCACCUCCA
rnacentral:tRNA from 1 species